rnacentral:rRNA from 1 species
CGUGAGAUGUUGGGUUAAGUCCCGCAACGAGCGCAACCCCUAUCCUUUGUUGCCAGCACGCAAUGGUGGGAACUCAAAGGAGACUGCCGCGGACAACGCGGAGGAAGGCGGGGAUGACGUCAAGUCAUCAUGCCCCUUAUGUCCUGGGCUACACACGUACUACAAUGGGAUGGACAGAGAACAGCGAAGCCGCGAGGCCAAGCGAACCCCAUAAACCAUCUCCCAGUUCGGAUUGCAGGCUGCAACCCGCCUGCA